rnacentral:misc_RNA from 1 species
UUUCCGUAGGUGAACCUGCGGAAGGAUCAUUAUCAUGUAAUUCAGUCCCCUUGGCUGUGUUAUAUAUAUACCACUCUGUGUACCUUCUCCUGUUGCUUCCGCUGGGUGUGUAAUUCGCCCGGCGGAAGGGUAAAAAUAACCUCUGAGUAUUGAUGAAAUCUCUGUCUGAACCGAAUAGAAAGAAAAAUGUUAAAACUUUCAGCAACGGAUCUCUUGGUUCUCGCAUCGAGGAAGAACGCAGC